GACGAACGCUGGCGGCAUGCCUAAUACAUGCAAGUCGAGCGAACAGAUGAAGUGCUUGCGCUUCUGACGUUAGCGGCGAACGGGUGAGUAACACGUAAGGAAUCUACCUAUAAGCGGGGGAUAACAUUCGGAAACGGGUGCUAAUACCGCAUAAUAUCUUCUUCCGCAUGGAAGAAGAUUGAAAGACGGCUCUGCUUUCACUUAUAAAUGAACUUGCGGUGCAUUAGUUAGUUGGUGGGGUAAUGGCCUACCAAGACGAUGAUGCAUAGCCGACCUGAGAGGGUGAUCGGACACAUUGGGACUGAGACACGGCCCAAACUCCUACGGGAGGCAGCAGUAGGGAAUCUUCCGCAAUGGGCGAAAGCCUGACGGAGCAAUGCCGCGUGAGUGAAGAAGGCCUUCGGGUCGUAAAACUCUGUUAUAAGAGAAGAACAAAUUGUAGAGUAACUGCUACAGUCUUGACGGUAUCUUAUCAGAAAGCCACGGCUAACUACGUGCCAGCCGCCGCCGUAA
rnacentral:rRNA from 1 species